CCUACGGGUGGCAGCAGUGAGGAAUAUUGGUCAAUGGGCGCGAGCCUGAACCAGCCAAGCCGCGUGAGGGAAGAAGGUCCUCUGUAUUGUACACCUCUUUUGUCAGGGAACAAACGCCGCGACUAGUCGCCUUCUGAGGGUACCUGAAGAAAAAGCAUCGGCUAACUCCGUGCCAGCAGCCGCGGUAAUACGGAGUAUGCGAGCGUUAUCCGGAUUUAUUGGGUUUAAAGGGUGCGCCGGCGGCCUGUUAAGUCAGCGGUAAAAGUCAGGGGCUAAACCGCUGCGAGCCGGUGAAACUGGUGGUCUUGAGGGGGAGAGAAGUAUGCGGAAUGCGUGGUGUAGCGGUGAAAGGCAUAGAUAUCGUGCAGAACGCCGAUUGCGAAGGCAGCAUACCG
rnacentral:rRNA from 1 species